GAUGAACGCUGGCGGCGUGCCUAAUACAUGCAAGUCGAGCGAACGGACGAGAAGCUUGCUUCUCUGAUGUUAGCGGCGGACGGGUGAGUCACACGUGGAUACCCUACCUAUAAGACUGGGAUAACUUCGGGAAUCCGGCGCUAAUACCGGAUAAUCUUUUGCUCCGCAUGGUUCAAAAGUGAAAUACGGUCUUGCUGUCACUUUUAGAUGGAUCCUCGCUGCAUUAGCUAGUUUGUAAGGUAACGGUGUACCAAGGCAACGAUCCCUAGCCGACUGGAGAGAGGGAUCGGCCACACCGGAACAGAAACACGGUCCAGACUCCUACGGGAGGCAGCAGUAGGGAAACUUCCGCAAGGGGCGAGAGCCUGACGGAGCAACGGGGCGAGAGUGACGAAGGUCUUCGGAUCGUAAAAAUCGGUUAUGAGGGAAAAACAGAUGUGUAAGUAACUGGGCACAUCUUGACGGUACCUAAUCAGAAAGCCACGGCUAACUACGUG
rnacentral:rRNA from 1 species